UUUGUUUGUUGGACCUCAAGAUCCUAUAACAAAUAACUACUAUGACAUUGAGUUUACAUGGUGUGUUUGUGACAUUUUAUAUCCGACAGAGAAAGUUUCUGAAAGAAUUAUGAACUCUUUUUAAUAUCAUAAACAUGUUUUAAAGUUGUGAACCCUUUGGACCAGAUUGGGAGCGGGUCAUUAUGGCCGAAGUCUACGAGCACGUCACCACCAGCCAUCUUGAUGAAUUGGCCACUGCUAUGACUGCCAAUCACCCCAAUUGUGCCUCUUUGGCUGAAAGGAUCGUUGUUUCAAAUCUGCAUAAGAACACAAAGAAAUCAUUUUCAGAGACAAUCAAAGAUAUGCACAAUCAUUUUAAUGAGAGAUCUGGGCUGAAGAAUCCUUGGAUUGCAGCCGAUGUUUAUAAAAUAAUCAUGAAGAAUGUUACUCGUUUGGAUAGUGAAAUCAUCUAUGACUGGGAUGUUGACUAUGAUUACUUUGGUUUCAAAACACUUGAGGACAUCAACUACCAUGAUAUGUUGGAGAAAUGGGGGUUCCAAUGGAAUCAAAUUCUUCUUCAAAGCUCAUUGGAUGCAGAAUUUUUAAGAAUCGAUUUUUUGAUUUACUAAACUAGUGGAGGUUACUGCAAUAGUUCUAUCAAAUCUUAACAAAAUAAUUGAUAUUAACUACUACUCGGUAGAGACUGCAAAAAGGUCAAACUUAUGUCAUAGACCCUUUGGGAUUGGAGUUCAGGGUCUUGCAGAUACCUUCAUUUUGCAUGGCAUGGCAUGACAUUUGAUUCGCCAGAGGCCCAACAGCUUAACAAAGACAUAUUUGAAACCAUAUGCCACCAUGCUCUAAAGGAUUCUGGUGAGUUGGCUGUGAAAGAAGGCUCCAGUGAGAUCUAUGAUGGAUGUCCAGUCAGUGAGUAUGGUAUGAUGUGUUGAUAGGAACUUCUAUGCUGCUGCAUGGGAGCUCAGUGACUGCUUAUGUAUGAAUGUUCUGUUCAUAUGUUGCACUGCCUUUUGUUUUAGGUAUGAACUAUCUUCUUUCAGCUGGUCCCAUUUUCUUCCAUCCCCAUGAUGUAUCUUCAAGGAUAUGGUUAUCCUUAGAUUUAUUUUUAACUACAGCAGGAUAUAAAGUUUUCCCUUCUAAAAAAGCCAAAAAAGUUUUGCAGUCAUCCAUGUUAUAAUUGAGACUACUAGCUGGCUGCUUAGAUAUCUAUUGGAUUAGCAGAGAAUUCUCCAACCUAUUCCCACUGCUUUAACCAAGCCAAAUUCUUGGAAACAAUGAGUCUUUGAGCUCUAUACUUACAAUGGUCUUUAUAUGUGGUGAAUUUGUUGUGGCAAACAAACAUCUCCUUCAUGACUGAGAUGGGUAUGUGGUCUCCUACUCUAGAGAACAAGAUAAUUUAUGAGGAUGGCUCUGUUCUAAAAAUUUCUGAAAUUCCUGAGGAAUUGAAAGUUAUCUAUAAGUGUGUAUUUAUCA